rnacentral:rRNA from 1 species
GAUGAACGCUGGCGGCGUGCCUAAUACAUGCAAGUCGAGCGAACGGACGAGAAGCUUGCUUCUCUAAUGUUAGCGGCGGACGGGUGAGUAACACGUGGAUAACCUACCUAUAAGACUGGGAUAACUUCGGGAAACCGUAGCUAAUACCGGAUAAUAUUUUGAACCGCAUGGUUCAAAAGUGAAAGACGGUCUUGCUGUCACUUAUAGAUGGAUCCGCGCUGCAUUAGCUAGUUGGUAAGGUAACGGCUUACCAAGGCAACGAUGCAUAGCCGACCUGAGAGGGUGAUCGGCCACACUGGAACUGAGACACGGUCCAGACUCCUACGGGAGGCAGCAGUAGGGAAUCUUCCGCAAUGGGCGAAAGCCUGACGGAGCAACGCCGCGUGAGUGAUGAAGGUCUUCGGAUCGUAAAACUCUGUUAUUAGGGAAGAACAUAUGUGUAAGUAACUGUGCACAUCUUGACGGUACCUAAUCAGAAAGCCACGGCUAACUACGUG